CCUACGGGGUGCUGCAGUGGGGAAUAUUGGGCAAUGGGCGCAAGCCUGACCCAGCAACGCCGCGUGAAGGAAGAAGGCUUUCGGGUUGUAAACUUCUUUUCUGGGGGACGAACAAAUGACGGUACCCCAGGAAUAAGCCACGGCUAACUACGUGCCAGCAGCCGCGGUAAUACGUAGGUGGCAAGCGUUAUCCGGAUUUAUUGGGUGUAAAGGGCGUGUAGGCGGGAAUGCAAGUCAGAUGUGAAAACUAUGGUCUCAACCCAUAGCCUGCAUUUGAAACUGUAUUUCUUGAGUGGUGGAGAGGCAAUCGGAAUUCCGGGUGUAGCGGGGAAAUGCGGAGAUAUACGGAGGAACACCAGUGGAGAAGGCGGAUUGCUGGACAGGAACUGACGCUGAGGCGCGAAAGCGUGGGGAGCAAACAGGAUUAGAUACCCCAGUAGUC
rnacentral:rRNA from 1 species